AACAAACGCUGGCGGCAUGUCUUAAGCAUGCAAGUUGAGCGGCAAGGAGGAGAGAUCCUCCCUAGAGCGGCGGACUGGUGAGUAACGCGUGGGUAAUCUAUCGUAGGCAUGGGGAUAGUCACUAGAAAUAGUGGGUAAUACCGAAUACGUUCCAUGAGGGGAGUACUUAUGGAAGAAAGGGUGCUACGGCACUGGCCUUAGGUGAGCUCGCGUCCCAUUAGCUAGUUGGUGAGGUAAAGGCCCACCAAGGCGAUGAUGGGUAGCCGGCCUGAGAGGGUGUACGGCCACACUGGGACUGAGAUACGGCCCAGACUCCUACGGGAGGCAGCAGCUAAGAAUAUUCCGCAAUGGACGAAAGUCUGACGGAGCGACGCCGCGUGGAUGAAGAAGGCCGAAAGGUUGUAAAGUUCUUUUGCUAGGGGAGAAUAAGUGAGGGAGGGAAUGCCUCAUGAUGACAAGGACUAGCGAAUAAGCCCGGCAACUACGUGCCAGCAGCCG
rnacentral:rRNA from 1 species